rnacentral:rRNA from 1 species
GGAUGAACGUUGGCGGCGUGCCUAAUACAUGCAAGUCGAACGAAGACUGUAGUAAUACUGUCUUAGUGGCGAACGGGUGAGUAACGCGUGGGUGACCUGCCCCGAAGUGUGGGAUAACAGUCCGAAAGGAUUGCUAAUACUGCAUAAUAUCCAAGAGAUUAGAUGCUUUUGGAUUAAAGGAGUAAUUCGCUUCGGGAGGGGCCCGCGUCCCAUCAGCUAGUUGGUAAGGUAAUGGCUUACCAAGGCGAUGACGGGUAGGGGACCUGAGAGGGUGGCCCCCCACAAUGGAACUGAAACACGGUCCAUACACCUACGGGUGGCAGCAGUAGGGAAUAUUAGUAAUGGGCGAAAGCCUGAACUAGCAACGCCGCGUGUGCGAAGAAGGCCUUCGGGUCGUAAAGCACUUUUUGAGAGGAUGAGGAAGGACGGUACUCUCAGAAUAAGUCUCGGCUAACUACGUGUCAGCAGCCGCGGUAACACGUAGGAGGCAAACGUUAUCCGGAUUUACUGGGCGUAAAGCGCGUGUAGGUGGUUUGGUAAGUAGGGCGUGAAAGCUCCUGGCUCAACUGGGAGAGGACGUUCUAAACUGCCAAGCUUGAGGAUGGUAGAGGGAGGUGGAAUUCCGGGUGUAGCGGUGGAAUGCGCAGAUAUCCGGAGGAACACCAGUGGCGAAGGCGGCCUCCUGGACCACUCCUGACACUCAGACGCGAAAGCUAGGGUAGCAAACGGGAUUAGAGACCCCGGUAGUCCUAGCCCUAAACGAUGUAGACUUGGCGUCGGUGGUUUAAUCGCCAUCGGUGUCGUAGCUAACGCGAUAAGUCUACCGCCUGGGGACUACGGCCGCAAGGUUAAAACUAAAAGGAAUUGACGGGUCCCCGCACAAGCAGCGGAGCGUGUGGUUUAAUUCGAUGCUACACGAAGAACCUUACCUGGGUUUGACAUAGAGGUAGUAGGGAAGCGAAAGCGGACCGACCCUUCGGGGAGCCUCUACAGGUGUUGCAUGGCUGUCGUCAGCUCGUGUCGUGAGAUGUUCGGUUAAGUCCGUGAACGAGCGCAACCCUUGCUCUUAGUUGCUAAUAGGCUUCGGCCUAUGCACUCUAAGAGGACUGCCAGCGAUGAGCUGGAGGAAGGUGGGGAUGACGUCAAAUCCUCAUGGCCCUUAUGCCCAGGGCCACACACAUGCGACAAUGGUCAAGACAAUGCGUUGCAAGCCAGCGAUGGUUAGCUAAUCGCAUAAAAUUGACCUCAGUACGGAUUGAGGGUUGCAAUUCACCCUCAUGAAGCUGGAGUUGCUAGUAACCGCCGGUCAGCUAUACGGCGAUGAAUACGUUCCCGGGUCU